GAUGAAGAACGCAGCGAAAUGCGAUAAGUAAUGUGAAUUGCAGAAUUCAGUGAAUCAUCGAAUCUUUGAACGCACAUUGCGCCCUCUGGUAUUCCUGGGGGCAUGCCUGUUCGAGCGUCAUUAUAACCACUCAAGCUCUCGCUUGGUAUUGGGGUUCGCGGUUCCGCGGCCCCUAAAAUCAGUGGCGGUGCCUGUCGGCUCUACGCGUAGUAAUACUCCUCGCGAUUGAGUCCGGUAGGUCUACUUGCCAGCAACCCCCAAUUUUUACAGGUUGACCUCGGAUCAGGUAGGGAUACCCGCUGAACUUAAGCAUAUCAAUAAGCGGAGGA
rnacentral:misc_RNA from 1 species